UACAGAGGUCUCAAGCGUUGUUCGGAAUUACUGGGCGUAAAGGGUGCGCAGGCCGCGCGGGCAGUCAAAUGUGUAAUCCAGGGGCUCAACCCCUGAACUGCGCUUGAUACUUCCGCGCUCGAGCUUGGAGAGGACGUCUGGAAUUCCUGGUGUAGCGGUGAAAUGCGCAGAUAUCAGGAGGAACACCGGUGGCGAAGGCGGG
rnacentral:rRNA from 1 species